GGAAAUAUGGCUCAGUGGUAGAGUGCUUGCCUAGCAUGCAUGAAGCCCUGGGUUCAAUUCCUCAGUACCA
rnacentral:tRNA from 1 species